rnacentral:rRNA from 1 species
GACAGAGGGUGCAAACGUUGUUCGGAAUUACUGGGCGUAAAGAGCGCGCAGGCGGCUUGGCAAGUCGGGUGUGAAAUCCCGGGGCUCAACCCCGGGACUGCAUUCGAUACUGUCAGGCUAGAGGUAGGUAGGGGAGAUCGGAAUUCCUGGUGUAGCGGUGAAAUGCGCAGAUAUCAGGAGGAACACCGGUGGCGAAGGCGGAUCUCUGGGCCUUACCUGACGCUCAGGCGCGAAAGCUAGGGGAGCGAACAGG